rnacentral:rRNA from 1 species
CAGUAGCCGCGGGAAUACGUGGGGUGCGAGCGUUAAUCGGAAUUACUGGGCGUAAAGCGUGCGCAGGCGGUUUUGUAAGACAGGCGUGAAAUCCCCGGGCUCAACCUGGGAAUGGCGCUUGUGACUGCAAAGCUAGAGUGCGGCAGAGGGGGAUGGAAUUCCGCGUGUAGCAGUGAAAUGCGUAGAUAUGCGGAGGAACACCGAUGGCGAAGGCAAUCCCCUGGGCCUGCACUGACGCUCAUGCACGAAAGCGUGGGGAGCAAACAGGAUUAGAUACCCCCGUAGUCCCUGUCUCUUAUAC